GUGUUCAUGGUGCAACGGCAGCACACCGGGUUGUGGUCCCGGAGAUGGUGGGUUCGAUUCCCCCUGAUCACC
rnacentral:tRNA from 1 species